UGAUCCUUUGGAGUGGAAAAGGUUAGCUGGGAACAUGCUUGUGAAACACACUGUGGAGGAUUCUCAUUAUGGUCGUUCUUGCCUCCAGGUUCAAGUGUUGCUCAAUCAGCAAGGUGCUCGAUUCACAGUGAUUGCUGCGCACUUCCUCGUUGAUCAAGAAAAUGCAUAAUCUCAGCCUAGACACAUUCACCAGAGAAAUGAAUAUAAGAAACAGGAUUUUGAUUUAAAUUUUCCAGUUGCAGAUCGAGAAAAAUAUAUAUGCAAGAGAAGAUUCCACUUGCAAAGCCCUGAUUCAAUUUUUACAGCAGCCCAACAACGCAGUGACAGAAGAAGAGAGUGCGGUCUAGGAAGUGUAACUCACUCCGUCCCCAAAACCAGCUGCACAGGGACUCUACGAAGCAGUUGGGAGCCACUGCCAGUUCUGAACAGCGGAAAGAUACGUUCGAAGCUGCGCUUUUGGAAAAUCGGUCUGGCAGCAGCAGGGAAGAUAGACUGUCUUUUCUCGGCUCAGCAGCACCAGCUGGAAGACCUGACCACGGAGCCAGCAAGUGCAGAGCCGGGGUUAGGACCACGUCGGUCCGACUGCUGGGCUGGGGCUCAAAUCCCAGAAGGCAGGCCGACUAAGGCUGGAUGAAGGCUUCUGGCUCCACAAGCCCCCUUUCCUCAUCAGGGGCGCCCUGGCACGGUGUUCCUCUGCCGCCCUUCCUGUGGUUUUGAACCUUCCUAUUGGCCCAUCUCAGCAGCAAACAGUUCCUCUGAGUAGAAUGUGCUCUGAAAAGCCCAAAUCCACCACCAGCUGGAGCUGGGAGGGCUGCAAUACUUCCUGUUGAAUUGGGUCCUGGGGGCAGAAACCGCAUUGCUAUUUAUACCCGAAGCUCUUUAUUUGAGGUGCUUUACAAAACACAAAAGGCUAAGUCCUCUGUCUUCGAAGCCAACAGACCACAGACGCACGGAAGACAACAGAGAAUAAUGAGCUGCCUCCCCUCUUACACCGUCUCUCCCUUUCUGCCCGAGCGGUUCCCUCUGCGGCCCCUUCUAUUUCUUUCAUCGCCUUCCUCUGAGCAGUCUUAUUACUGAAAUAGACUCCUAAUUAACACAUCAGGUUUCCCCUGUUCCAAAAAGUCUCUGAAAUUUGCCUGUUCGGUGAUGCUGUUCACUCAAAACACCCCCUGCUGUCUUUAUUUUGUUCUGCUUUUUGUCCUGGCUCGUAUCGUUUGUUUCUUUGUAUUGAAAGCUUGUCAGCUCGCGGAACCUGGCACGUAUUAAUUAGGAGGAUGGUCCGGUGCUCGACACAGCUUGAUGGAAAGCAAGUCUGAGCGGGGACUUGGGCAGAGAAUCAGAAGGAAGCUGAGGCGAACGAACGGGGAGACGGCUUCAGACCGUGACCCAGUUUUCAGACCCAGGGCGCGACCAACAGUCAGCCUUCUGGCCUGUGACUCUUGACCUCAGCUAAGCCCAUCUGCAACUUGCCCCGUAAGAGUGCACGUCGGGGGCACGUCUGUGCCUUUGCCCAGUGUGUGCCCCUCUGCCGGGAUGCCCUGCCUUCUCUCUGCCACCUGAGUUUUGCUGGCGUUCAAGGCCAGAAGGACAUUUCAUCACCUCCGAAAAGCCUUCCACGGCUCGUCUAGUCCUAGUCAGCCACCGUCUUCGUGACACCUUGACUGUUUUUGCAUCACCGAACCUACCCCCUUGAUCGUGUGGUCUUUUUGAUGAGAAUCGUCUCCGUGCCUCCAGUCCUCAAAGGGAAAGGGGGUUCCGCCAGACACGGGUGGAGUAAGAAAGAAGCUUGCUAGCUGCUUCAGGUCAGCGGGUCUUCGAAGUCUUUGGAGCAGUCCCACACACAGCGCCCCCGUCCCCACCCAAGACGGACAAGUUCAGCAGACACAGAUCCUAGAGGUGCUGGCCUCCAAGCAUCGCUCAGGGGAAUUGCCAGCCAUGGUUUGGAAACAGAGCUGCCCUGGUGAGAAGCAGCUCAAUUGUAAACCGGCUUCUGCAAUUUGGUGUCUCCCUUAGACCCUUGGGCUCAUCUCUGAAACAUCGAUUUCUUGUCCCGUCCACAGGCUUUAGUACGUGUGGUGAGCAGCACUGGGGCUCCACCUGCCCCCCUCAAAAUCCUUUUUCCAUUCUUAGAUGCCCUGUUCCUGGCUUAUAUGUUUGCUUCCAGCAGCUGGCACCCGUGAGGGACCCUUCAGAAGACUCCACUCAGAAGUGCCCGGAAACUUACACUUUCCUUCGGCGGGGGGGGGGGGGGGGGGCGCCUUGCUCAAUGACUGACUGGUGCCCACCGUGAAAGUCCAGUUCUUGGCCCAGAGUGAGGACAAGGUCUGAGGCAUAACUUGUAUUCCACGACUCUCCCAGGGGCAGGCCAAGGCGGGGACUUGGUCUGAAUGGCUCCUGGCUUGGCUUCUUCUUGUUCUCUGUCCUGCCUGUCUGUCCUUCCCACCUUUCCCUACCCCACCCCCCCACACUGAUUUGCCCUAGGGAACAGCUCCUCGCACAUGAAUACGCCUCUCCAAGUUCAUUUCUGGGCGAACUGACCUAAGGUAAUACCUAUGGUGCGUCUCUCCAUUGGCCAUUGGCAGUCAUGGCCCCUGCCUACACACUCUACCAGCUUCCACUUUUUUUGAGGGACGGUUGUCAUUCACUCUGAGGUAGCCCUCAAGGACCUAACUCCCAGGCAAACCCUGUGCAAGUCAGGAAGCCCUCAUUAAAAUUAGUUAUACACGUCGCCCAAUACAGUGAAAAAUCUACCCAGUCAUUCCUUGGUGAUGUGAUAACAGAUACCCAGCCAGAAACUUAUUUUUAUUUAUUCUCUUUACGAUACGACAUUCAUUCUAUUUUUUUCAGGCUUUCCUCAUUUUAAAACAUUUCUAGGCAAUACACUCAAGGACAUCAAUGUACUAAAAUGUCAGUUUGUGAAAUAAUGGAACCAUUAGCAUCCAAAGAAUUCUUGGAGCUUGUACAUAUUAUCCAAACAAUGACUGUGGCUUCGGGUCAUGGGCAAAGGUUUCAUUUCAUUUUAGCAUCUCAAAGUUCGCAAAGAUAGCCAAUGAAAUGUCACCAUUCAUCCGCCUAGGAAACAGGAGUAGCUUCCCCCUAAGUCACUUUGGAUGCCGCCCAGGCAGUUACUGAUAGAUUUCAUUCCUCUUUUUAUUUUGUUAAAAAGUUUAUUUAUUUAUUUUGAGAGAGAGAGAGAGAGAGAGAGAGAGAGAAGGGGGCGAGGCAGAGAGAGAGGGAGAGAGAGAGAACCCCAAGCAGCCUCCGCGCUCAACACAGAGCCUGAUGUGGGGCACAAUCCCACGAACCAUGAGAUCAUGACCUGAGCCGAAAUCAAGAGUCGGGCCCUUAACCGACGGAGCCACCCAGGCGUCCCUCAUUCAUCUUUUUAGACGCCACAUUCUUGAUAAUGUGACUCAGGAACGCGGCUGCCACACUGGCCCUGCCCUAAACUCUCCUGAGAAGCUAUCUCAAGUAAUGAAGCAAAGGGAAAAAAUUACUUUUCUGUCCUAGGUCACAAGUCCCUAAACUCUUCCUAACUUUAUAGUUAAACCUACCCCUAAAAUCCCACCACCAUUUCUCACCUUUGCUGCAGGUGCACACAUUCACUUCCGACGCCCUAAGCCCAAGGCCAGGUCUCGGUGUUCUUUGUUUCCCAGCCAGCGGCCAGGGUCACGCCUGUCAACCGCAGUAAUCACGCGAGGACUAGAAGUCACGGACUACUUUGAAUCAAGCCAGGCAAAUAGGGCUUGUGCAAGACUCAACCUAUUCGUGGAUCCGGGCACCUUGGCAAAAUAGAGCCUGAACUGGCAACUGUGAUGUAGUUUUCUGAAAUGCGAUUUCUCAAACUCCUUUAGCUAUCUGCCAUAAGGUGCAUUUGGGUUUUCUUUCUAGCCCUAUUGUUUUAUAAUUUGAUGCCUUUUCCUGCCUGAUAAAUUCAAGUUUUCGGGAACUUAAGCACUUAAUACUUUAGAUUUCUCAGAAAGGCAGCUUAUUAGGAAACCUUGUGUUUACUCAAGUAUGCGAGAAGUCCUCUUGGCCAGCAGGCUACAUGCGAUUCCUUGAAAUUCUGUUCCAUGGACGCCAGGGAGCUAAAUGUAACAUUUAGUCAUCAAUAGGAUAAUUUAGGCUCAUUCUUUCUACUUGCCUUCUUAAGAAGGGAUUGGAGUUCAUGCUGGUAUUCUCUAGAAAAUGGAAGUGCCUUCCCGCCCUGUAAAGAUGGCUUUCCACACACCGUGGACUCUCACACAAGCCUCUUUAUCGUCACACACAUGAAAGCAACAUGAAAAUGCUGAGGUUGGGACCCACGGUGGGAAGCCUUACAAUCAAGAAUGAGAGAAAACUACACACUUAACUACCAAUGAAACGCCAAGCAGAAACGAAGAUGUCCUCACCAGACGAUGGUCUUGAAGACCAGAAGCUCAGCUCCACAGCCCAGAACUUAGACACAGCUCCUAAGGAAAUUAGGAAAACCUCAAAUUAACUAGAAUUCCUCUUCUGCUGUGCCAGUAGCAUGGAAACUCAAGGAAGAAAUUAAAUUUAAAAAAUCACAUUUCUUGCACCCUGAAAUCAAUACCUACAAUAUUGCCCAACUGGGGAAGCAGGACAUUUCCAUAAAAAGAGAGGCACUGUCAUUGGCUAGUAGAUAUGGGGAGUAAAUAAGCUAUAUAGCAGACACUUUCUACAGAAAUUCAAGGCCUCUGCAGCCACAGAGGUGGAGAGAACAUCAUGGAUGGCGGCGGCCUUCUUGCAAUAUUAACCGACCAGAGUGGUUAAGUUCUGGGAGUUGACUGAGCUCCGCCAGGCGAUUCUCACCAGGAUCUCUUUACAGUUGCAAUCAGCAUGUGAGUGGAGCUGGAAUCAUCUGGAAGUCCACUUCACACACUUGUUCGGGGCCCGGACUGGAGAGAUCCAAAGAGCUGGAAGCUAGGGCUGGAAGACAGAUGGUUCCCUGGACAUCUUUCUCUAUUUCGAUGAGGUCUCUCUAUGUGGUCAUUCCACUAUGGUGGCUUCAGAGUAGCUGGACUUUUUACGUGGCAUCUCAGCACCCCAAAAGCACAGGUCCCAGGAGAGAGAGAGAGAGACAGAGAGACAGAGAGAGACUCUAGCAGAAUGGGUGCUGUGCUCUUACAUAAUCACAUAAACCUCAUCAUGUACAUCCCAUUCAUUACCUUUGCCACCUUCCAUUGGUUAGAAGCACAUCACGGGUCCCACCCACACUUGUGGGGAGGGGAAUGACACAGGGUCGUGACUCCUAGGAGCAGAGAUCGUGGGGCCACCCUAAAGUCAGUCUGCCACACGCAGUGAAGUUGAGCAAUGGCCCCCAGGUCACACAGCUAGUGGGCAGCACAAACAGUUUUAGACCUCCAGCAGUCUGACUCCAGAGUCCCCGUUCUCAAUUAUUACACUAGAGGGACACUCCGUAGGAGUGAAUAUUUCUUAAUUGUUAUAAUUCUUAUCUAUCUAUCUAUCUAUCUAUCUAUCUAUCUAUCUAUCUAUCUUGAGAGACAGAGAGCAUGCACAAGCGUGGGAAAGACAGAGAGAGGAGAGAGAUGAUCUCUCAAGCGGGCUCCACACCCAGCAAAGAGCUCUAUGAGGGGCUUGAACUCUCCGGUCAUGACCUGAGCCCAAAUCAAGAGUCAGACACUUAACUGACUGAGCCACUCCGGCGCCCCGUUAUCAUUCUCAUUUUAAAUGAAUACGUUCUCCUCUGCGCCCUCAGUCAGCGACUAAGCUGACGGAAUCAUGCUUGAGUCUGCAAAGCUCCAGACCAGCCCCUGGCACGCGGCGGCUUUCAUGUAGGUGACGCCGUAUCUAUUACCGAGGCUUCCCCGGUGACACAUCCUCCAUGGUUAGAACCUUCGGGUCACAGUAAUAGACCUAACAUAUCCGUACAAAGCGAAAGAGAUCUUGUCGGAGGGCUAGCCAUUUCCCUGGAACAUCUUUAGGCCAGAAGGCACGUGGACAGGAACAAAUGGGAAGUGUCUCGAUGGAGGAAAGUCUUGUAGAUGCUGGGAUGUCAGCCUUGGAAGGGACUCCGGCAGCAGCUGAUGUUCUACAACGCAACGGGCUGAAAAAAACCCCACAUCUCUGUAAAAAUAAAGAAAAGCCUAACUGGCUGCAGCUGCCGUCCUCCCAAUAAUUAGAUUUGGAAGAUUAUUGCUGAGAUGAAUGGAAGAUAUCAUAUGGUCACUGCUAGAAAUAUUUGCCAUCCCUGUCUAACUGCACUACACUUGAGUUCUUAGCAGACCCACAUAUGUUUGUUUUUAAUUAAAAUGUGCUGAAUGAACCGUUAGCUGCACUGAAAUAAUGAAGAAAAGCAACACAAGACAAAUCAGCUAAUUGACAACUCCAAGGAUUCUAUUUUAUACCCUUCAGUCAUGUUAAUGGAGAUUUCGAAUAUGUUCUAGUUGAAAUAAUAAUUACACAGGCACAGUUACAUAAUAAUCUAAAAGUAGAUAAAAAUAUAUUAUACAUAACUACAGCAGCAAAAAAAAAACACCCACAAAUGGGUCAAAGGAUUACAAAUUCAUUCACUCGGUCUUUAUUCCGUCGAGUAUUUAUCGGGGACUUAUGGCUUAUUACGUGCCAGGCCUUCAUAGGCUAAUGCUCAUUCCUGGUGUUUUCAAAUACACAUUUUUGUUCAAGCUAGCAUGUUCUAGAGAGUGUCGGGGUGCUAUGCAUGGUACAUCUCCAACCACAUGACGAAACAAAAUAGCAAGCGACUCUUGAAAAAGCGAGACCGUAAUUUUAAGUCAUUUCAAAAGCUAGUUUAUGUGAAGGCAGACAAUCUGGCCAAGAUCUUGACAAAUUACAUUUUAUUCAGUGCACAAGAAGCUAGCACAGCUGCCUGAAGGAAAAUGUAUCCUGGGAUUGUGUACACAGAGCAAGGCCAAAGGGCAGCCAUAUUCCAAAUAGACCGUAAACAGGAGGUUUGUUGGACGCCUUUCCAAAGAUCAUGGCAGAAUUUCAGCCGUGAGAUAACCAGAAUUCUGGCCAAAAUUAGGAGUGAUGGAAACUGUCACAUGUCUCUGGGAUAUUUUGUGGAGAUUAAUCCCUUGGCCGAGUAGUCUCUGAUGAAUGAAGGAGGAUAAUUCAGAGUCAGUCACUGAACCCCCUGGCUCUUAACUGGAAGACUGGGCUAUCAAUGAGGUAAAUUAACUUCAAUGCAUUUAGAGUUUAUUUACAACAAAACUGCAAAGCCUCUGUCUCAUCCAUAUUCAAUCAGAGAAAAUUGUGGCUCAUCCAAGACAAGACAUGAGCCAAGUCUGGGGCGAGGCGAAGGGUGACAUCAUCUGAAGGGGCUGGAAAUGAAGUGUAAAUUUGAAUAUCAUCUGUAUAUAAGUGAUAAUUAAAGCUGUGAGGCUCAAUACACGCCAAGAGAGAAAGUCAAUAAAAAUGAGGAAAACAGUGUCCCGAGCCACGUGUCAUUUCUGCAAUGGAGAUUUUUAAAAAUAAGACAGUGGGGGCAAGAUUUCCUUUCCUUGUGGAUGAUCUCAAAACAGAUACAGAUCACUUGUCAGAAAAACUCUUAUCCUUUGCAGACAAUUGCCAAAUCACUCGACGGUUGGGCAAGGUAAGAAGAGAUUUCCUGGAAGACUUCCCUUCCGGGGAAAAAUCGGUCAUUUCGAGGGGUUUGGGGAGACCACUGCCCCUUCCCAAAAAGACCGUUUAGGAAAUGCUAACAAAGAGAAUCCCCAAUCCAAGCAGACAUUUGCUUUACCCUUUCAAGUCUGGUGGUAAAUUUGGGCGGGAACCCCAAGGUGCUUUCAUCUGGGUAUUAGAGGAGUUCGUUCACGCAGAGAAGAAAUGGUUUCUCUCUUCUCAGCUGUGUUUGAACACGUUAACAGUGGAAUAACUAAAGGAAGACGCAAUGUGAAUCAAAUGAAAUUAGACCGGUUCAUAAGGAAUUAUUCAUUAAGAAAAGGGCAGCUUUUGCCCUAAUCAUCCCUCUAGAGAUUUAAACGUAGGGCUCUUUUUUUUCUCCUUCCUUCCUUCCUUCCUUCCUUCCUUCCUUCCUUCCUUCCUUCCUUCCAUUUAUUCAUUCAUUCAUUCAUUCAUUCAUUCAUUCAUUCAUUUUUGGACUACCAGCUCUCCAGACCAUAGAAGCUUCCUAAAAAUAUCCUGUUCUUCAGCAGCAUGGAGUGAGCCUAACCAUGAAUCAUGGGUAUUAUGAGCUGAAUUGUGGUCCUCUGAAAUGCAUAUAUUGAAGCCCUAAACCCAGAUGCCUAAGAAUAUGACUGUGUUUGGAGGUAGGGUUUUUUUUUUUUCUUUUUUUCUUUUUUUUUUAGAAAAGCAGACUGCUACAUGCAGUGUCUGGAUGUGUGUGGAGUCUUGGGAGCUUGAUUUCCCUUCCUUCUCCUACAAAUGGACCUGGAGAGCCUGCUUGGAGAUUCUAGCAGGGUUGUGCAGCUACCUGUAUACCCGUGACCGAAGAACAAUUCUCCUCUACUGGGGAAGGUCGUUCUCUUGGACCAAGCGCACAGGGUGUGGUGAGGAAGGAGGAGGACACCUGCCUAGCCAGCCAGAUCAGCCGAAUCAAACCUGGUCAUCAGAGGGGUGAUAGAUGUCACGGCCAGAUCACCCUCACAUAAUGGAGAUAGGGUGUUUACAGAAGUAAUUAAGUUAAAAGGGGGUCAUCAGUAUGGGCCCUAAUCCAAUAUGACUGGUGCUCUUAUAAGAAGAGGAGAUCCAGACAUAGGCACAUACACAGAGGAAAGAUCAUGUGACGACACAGGCAGAAAGCACCGUCUACAAGCCAAGGAGAGAGGUUUCAGAAGAAACGAAUCCUGCCAAUAUCUGUUGACUUCAGACUUCUACUCUCCAGAUCUGGGAGACAACAGAUUUCUGCUGUUUAAGCCCUCCGGUCUGUGGUACUUUAUUAUGGCAGCCCCAGCUGACCAAAUGAAUGGGACAAAGGAAGUAGGGCCAGCAUAAGCAUUUUCCAUGGAAGAUCCUCACCUUGAACCUUUGCUCUUAAUCUGCAAAUAGACCUAUCUCGUCGAUUCAUUUGUUAUGUCACCUUGAGCAUUUUGAUAGAUAUAACUUUUUUGAACUUUAAUUGCCUCAUGUCAGUAUUGGGAUAAAAAAUCUUGGGAUCAUAGGACCGUUGGACUGUUGCACUAGAAAUAGAGUCUCCAUGAGUCAACAUGAAAUUGUCUCCUACCUCUUCCAUCCCCUCUACAAUCAUGAAACGCCAUGGCUUUCCAAAUAGUUUUUCCUCAAAAUAUUCUAUUACAGUUUGAAAUUAGUCUGGUUUAGUCACUCACUAUGACUUUGGACAAGUUACUUAAACUCAUCGUUCCUCAUAACCUGCUUCCUAAGGUCAUAAAAAUUAAUAUUUAAAUGACGAUUAUUUAAAGCGUCCAGCAGAGUGCUUGGCACAUGGUAGGAGUUCAGUAAAGGUUGCUUUCAUCCUUCUAAAGGGACAAGCCUGUUAUUCACCAGCAGAGAAAUGUUUAUUGCAUUUGAUAUUAUACUCAUUUAUUUAUUUAUGCCCCUCUUCAAUCUAAAAGGAUUUUAGUCAGCUCAGAAAAAUAUCUCCAGAAUAAAUUAGUCCUCACAAAGGAUAAAUAGUGUGAGAUAGUAGACAAGAUCAUCGACCACCUUCCUAUACCAAAUUCAAAAGGAAGCCCAUAGGGCUGAUCCCUAAAGCGUCCUGUAGUUGUGUGGCCUCAAAAUGCAGCGAGAAAGAGCAAUGUUUUUCUAGAAAGGCAGAGGUGGAAAGAAGUCUUAAUGUGCAGCUCCUUCAUGGUCUUCACUUCACGCAAAAAUACAUUCAAAGUAUCUUGAAGGACGGAUGAGUUGGUCAUCCAUUUUUGAUUUUUUAAACUGCUUUAAAAAUACAAGAGAUACAGAAAAGUCAAAGAAUAUUGUAACUAAACUCUCAUAUUCUGCUACUCAGAAUUAGAAACCAUUCCCAUUUCACCGUAUUUGUUGGCAAUAUUUCUUAAGGAAAUAAAAUACUACGACUGAUGUCAUGUUUGACUAACAGAGAGGCAACUUCUAAUGCAUCUGAAUGAUCCUUCCAGAACAUUAAAUGUUGACACACAUGCAGGAGAUACUUGUGUCGGUUCAUGUGUGUGUUUUGUAAGUGAGGAGUGGUAUCAUAUGAUAUGUACCAUUAUGUAUCACACUCUCUCAACUCAACAUUGUUUUCUGAGAUGAGGUUGCAUUGUCACACGUGGAUCUUGCUAGUUCCUUGGAAGGACGGUGCUAUGGGAUGAAUUUUGUCCCCCUACAAUUUGUAUGUCGACAUCCUGAGCCCCAGUGCCUCAGAACGUGACUGUAUUUGGAGACACGGUCUUUGAAUAGAUUAAAAUGAGGUCAGUAUGCCUAAUCCCAUAUGACUGCUGUCUUUGUAAGAAG